AGGGGAUCAGGUUGUACGCCUGGAACACGAACCCGACGCGUUCGCGGCGCAGUUCGGUGCGCCGGGUCUCGUUCAGGCCGGAGAUCUCCUGCC
rnacentral:tRNA from 1 species